rnacentral:rRNA from 1 species
AUCAUCACACGCUACACAUGUCUAGAAUGUAACUACGAUCGUCGACCGCAAGGCCGGUCGGUCUAAACAAACGAAAUACAACUUUCAGCAACGGAUCUCUUGGCUCUCGCAUCGAUGAAGAACGCAGCGAAUUGCGAUAAGUAAUGUGAAUUGCAGAUUUUCAGUGAAUCAUCGAAUCUUUGAACGCACCUUGCGCUCCUUGGUAUUCCGAGGAGCAUGCCUGUUUGAGUGUCAUCGAAUUCUCAACCAUGUCUUGAUCGACAUGGCUUGGACUUGGGGGUUGCUGGCUGCGAAAGCGGUCGGCUCUCCUGAAAUGCAUUAGCGAUGGACGGCAAGUCCUGACGUGCACGGCCUAGACGUGAUAAUGAUCGUCACCGCUGGAGCGCCGGACGAGCCAUCAGUCUGUUUGCUUCCAAUCCCCCCUCGACUUGGGACUUUCGAGCCAGGCUUAGCUA